GAGGAGAGCGUUUCCCAGACUCCUUGCCCCUGAGUGAGGAUACGUGCCUGGUUCUGGCCAAGGGGCUGUGGCUGAUACAGCAGGUGUCACUCUGAGUCAAAGCAAAGGAUGUGCAGACAUGAAGUCUCCACGCUCUCUCUUCUUCACCCCUUGUCUCAAGGUGUCAGAGGCACCAGCUUAUGAGGGAUGUAUGAUUGUCAGCACCUCCACUUUACAGAAGAGGACACCUGGGUAUGAUGAUAAGCUGCCCAAGGUCCCAUAUCUGGUGCUUCAUAAUCCUGGCAAAGCCACUAAGCUGAGCAGAGCUGCAGAAAUUCCCUGGCUUUCCUACUGGAAGAUGUCGAUCAAUGAGGGCGCUCGCGGCCUUUGAUGUUAGGCAUCCACGCCCGCUUCUGUAAAGACUUUCGGCUCCACAAGAGAACGGGAAGUCACUGUGAAGAAAGAGGCAGGCGAUGUAACCGGAAAAGCGCAGGUUUGAUGUCAAACAGACCUGCGUGGUUCCACCGCUUUCCGACUGUGUGACACCUCCCCCCCCCCACCACCGGUCCAGUUGCUCUCUGAACCCAAGUCUUGGAAAAUGGAACCAAUAAUACCUGUUCUUCAAGACUGUUCCUGCUGGAAGCUCCAAGAUUCAUCUGAAGGCGUGAUCACAUCCUCAAUGUUGAGUGGACUAUGAACCGGCUGCCAGAGACAGGGUUCCAAGCCGGGCCAGGCCCAUCCCAAUGCCCACCCGAAAAGACGGGACAGAGGAAAGAAAGAAACAAAAUCCUGGGGCUCCAUUGGCUUUCUUUUUGACUCCAGCUGAAGUUGCUGCAUAGUGUGGCCUUGCCAGUCCUCGCCUUGAAAAGGCUGGAAGCGACUGCCGUGAUGGAUCAUCUAAUCCCACAGCCUCAUUCUGCAGAGGACCCCGAGCCUCGACUUGGCCAAGGUCACACAGCUGGGCCACACCCAUGGCGUAUGGUUUUCACAUGGAAUCGGAGCUGCAGUUGCCGGCCUAUGCCACAGCCACAGCAAGGUAGGAUCUGAGCCAAGUCUUUGACCUACACCACAUCUCACGGCAAUUCCAGAUCCCUGGACCCACUGAGUGAGGCCAGGGAUUGAACACGCACCCUUAUGGAUACUAGUUGGAUCACAACGGAACUCCCUGAAAAAUCAAGGUCUUUAAAGCAAUUCAUCAACCCCACCAACAUCUUGGCAUAAGAAAAUUGAUUCUAGCUGGUGCUGUUAUGAGAUGCUGUUGAAGACUCUGGUUUGCCCAGAUGUGCCGCAGUGAAAACAGCCUUUCUCUGACGUGCAUGACUUGUGAGGAUGAUGGGACCUGUGGGAAGAGGGGAUCCUUUUUCAGAGUUUGGAAAGAGAGACAAAAUAACGCCGUCUGCCCUGCAUGGCUGACAGAAACACAUUCUUCCCUAAUCAGUGGGUCACUCACUUCCGCACUAUGUUGCAGGGAAGCAUCAUCUGAUUCCAAGCCUAAGGCUGGGUCAUCCGCGGCACUGACUUCUCCCGACCCUUCUCCGAGCUUCCUGUGCCAGUUUUCAUCAUCAAAUUUCUCUGCUCCCUUAGACCAGCGGAAAAGAAGUUAUGAGCUCUCUCCAUCAUUCGCCGGUCUCUUCGGCCCUUCCUCCUUUGAAGUUUUCUUAUUCGGGGUCUUUUUUCGCUUCUUCUCCAUGUUUCAUCCUCUCUCACUGUAACCUUUUUAUCUCUGGAGAGUUCUCUCUGUGCCUCUGGGCCCUUCUCUUUCUAGUUGGUUCUCAGAACCCAUUCUGGGAUUCUAUUUCAGUCCAUCCGUCUCUCCAACAGACCACGGGUGAAACCAGGGCCGGUAAUCAGUCCCAGCUGCUGGAGGCGUCCGCUCUGGGUCGGCCCCACGUUUGUGGGCUGAUGUUUUGCUUCCCAUAAUGCUCUGGGAGUACUGCUGCUCAGAGCUUGGCUUGUGCUUUUUCUUCUCCUGCCAAGGGGCCCUGCUUCCAAAACCCAGAUUAGAAAACAUGGGACGUUAAAAAAAAAAAAAAAAAGAAUUUGUCCUAUUUCGCAUUUCCUUUUCCAACAGCAGAGUUCUUACACUUUGAUAAUUUCAGAGUGAGAACACAAAUUAAGCGGAUCGGAGGGGAAGGGCUCGUUGGAGAGAAACCCUCUGUCCUUUGAGCCGUCUUGCUGCACCCUGUACGCCUUCCUAGCUCUUCUCGCUCUGUUUACGCCACCACGCGUCACCCUCCAGCUAGAAGGCUUUGGAGGACAGGGACUCCGUCUCCCAGGUCCAUGCAUAGAGUAAGGAUCCAUAUGAAGAUUUUUUCUGUCUGAAGAUUUUUCUNCCCCCCCCCCCCCCCCCCCGAAUGUGUCCUGAGACCGUAGCUGGUUUCAACUGAGUCCAGCUGAGAGGAGCCACGCUGAGGGGGAGGCAAGCAGAGGACAAUGCAGGAUAGGAGGAGGAGGGCAGCAGCAUGUGGCCCGCAGAAGUCAGGACUAGAAGGAAAGCUGCUGAAAUAGAACCAGAGCGAGAGUCCCAUUAGUCCUCCCAUCUUGGACAACGUGGUCAUUUCCUUCAAAUCUCCCCAUUCUCAGGGACAGAAAAAAAUGGUAACGACAAUGAUAAUAGUAGCUAAUAACUGAUACUGAUCUCACCUUGCAGGAACUGUUCUAAAUGCUUUAUACUUACUAACCCAUGUUGUCUUCACAAUAUUAUUUAUUUAUUUACAACCCGCAGUUGCAGCAUAUGGAAGUUUCUGGGCUAGGGAUUGAAUUGGAGUUGCAGCUGAGGCUUAUGCAACAGCCAUGGCGACACCAGAUCUGAGCUGCAUCUGUGACCUAAGCCACAGCUUGCAGCAACGCCAGAUCCUUAGCCCACUCACCGAGCAAGGCCAGGGAUGGAACCCAUGUCCUUACUGAGACAAUGCCGGGUCCUUAACAUGCUGAGCCGUAACUGGAAUUCUUCUCAAUAAUUUAAAUGUGUGUGUCCUAUUUUUGCCACUCCCAUUUUACAGAUAAAGAAAUGGAGGCUCAGAAACUUGCUGAAGGUCACCCUACCAGUAAGUGGUAGACAAGAAAUCAUGAGUCCUGGGGAGUUCCCGUCAUGGCGCAGUGGUUAACGAAUCCGACUAGGAACCAUGAGGUUGCGGGUUUAAUCCCUGCCCUUGCUCAGUGGGUUAAUGAUCCGGCAUUGCCGUGAGCUGUGGUGUAGGUUGCAGAUGCGGCUCGGAUCCCGCGUUGCUAUGGCUCUGGUGUAGGCCGGUGGCUACAGCUCCAAUUCAACCCCUAGCCUGGGAACCUCCAUAUGCCGCAGGAGCAGCCCAAGAAAUGGCAAAAAGACAAAAAAAAAAAAAAAAAAAAAAAAAAAAG
rnacentral:lncRNA from 1 species